UACGGAGCAAGUAGGACCUCUGAUUGGGCCUGAACUGUAAAGUAGGUUAUAAUACCCGGCAGCGGAUUGGCAGCAGAUUAUGGACGCUGACUAGCCAGCGCCAUCGAUUGGCUGUAUUUGAAGGAUUGUUUUUAAUCCCAUGAUCCAUUAACCAGCCAUGUGUUGAGGCAAAGACCUCUUGAGAUUUGGGUGAAGGAUCUUCCCAUCUUCCUGUGCGAGAAGGGGAGGGGCAAGCUGGAAAGUGAUUGGUGAGCAAGCAAAUGGCCCACUGUCUGAGCUCUAUCCGAGGGGUGCCUCAUAGUUGACAUAUGCGGUGAAGUACAAUGGAAUCUAUUACCCACUCAUGGUCUUGUGAGAAGUGCCUACUGAAUGUAUCCGUGGUCACAUUCUGAGCUCCUGGAAGGUAAGCUGCUGUGAGGACCAUCUGAUUGAGUAUGCAUCAAUUCCAAAGCUGGUCAGCCUUGGCACACCCAGAGGGAGAA